rnacentral:rRNA from 1 species
GUGGCGGACGGGUGAGUAACGAGUGAGAACGUACCCUCUAGUGAGGAAUAACCCACCGAAAGGUGGGCUAAUACCGCAUGAGACCGCAAGGUGAAAGGGUGUAACUACCCGCUAGAGGAGCGGCUCGCUUCCCAUCAGCUUGUUGGUAGGGUAAUGGCCUACCAAGGCUACGACGGGUAGCUGGACUGAGAGGUUGACCAGCCACAAGAGCACUGAGACACGGGCUCUACUCCUACGGGAGGCAGCAACCGGGAAUCGUAGACAAUGGGCGAAAGCCUGAUCUCGCGACGCCGCGUGGAGGAUGAAGGCCUUCGGGUCGUAAACUCCUUUUAUAAGGGAAUAAGUUCCGAUUUAUCGGAAUUGACUGUACCUUAUGAAUAAGCCGCUGCUAACUACGUGCCAGCAGCCGCGGUGAAACGUAGGCGGCAAGCGUUACCCGGAAUUACUGGGCGUAAAGAGUGCGCAGGUGGUAAGGUAAGUUUUCGUUAAAAUACACAGGCUUAACCUGUGGACCGCGGAGAUACUGCCUCACUUCGAGUAAGUCAGGGGGUACCGGAACAGAUGGUGUAGUAGUGAAAUGCGUUGAUAUCAUCUGGAACACCCAAGGCGAAGGCAGGUACCUGGGGCUUUUCUGACACUGAUGCACGAAAGCGUGGGGAGCGAACGGGAUUAGAUACCCCGGUAGUCCACGCCGUAAACGAUGGACA